rnacentral:rRNA from 1 species
UACGAGGGGGGCAAGCGUUGUUCGGAAUUACUGGGCGUAAAGCGCACGUAGGCGGCUUUGUAAGUUAGAGGUGAAAGCCCAGGGCUUAACCCUGGAAUUGCCUUUAAGACUGCAUCGCUAGAAUCGUGGAGAGGUGAGUGGAAUUCCGAGUGUAGAGGUGAAAUUCGUAGAUAUUCGGAAGAACACCAGUGGCGAAGGCGACUUACUGGACACAUAUUGACGCUGAGGUGCGAAAGCGUGGGGAGCAAACAGG